AGCAGCCGCGGUAAUUCCAGCUCCAAUAGCGUAUAUUAAAGUUGUUGCAGUUAAAAAGCUCGUAGUUGAAUUUCGGGAUCAAUAUGUCGGUCGUGCCUCCGGUACGUACUGGCAUCAUUGAUUUCUCCCUUCUGACGAACCAUGAUGUCAUUAAUUUGGUGUCAUGGGGAGUCAGAACUGUUACUUUGAAAAAAUUAGAGUGUUUAAAGCAGGCUCACGCUUGAAUACAUUAGCAUGGAAUAAUGAAAUAGGACGUUUGACCCUAUUUUGUUGGUUUCUAGGAUCAACGUAAUGAUUAAUAGGGAUAGUUGGGGGCAUUAGUAUUCAAUUGUCAGAGGUGAAAUUCUUGGAUUUAUUGAAGACUAACUACUGCGAAAGCAUUUGCCAAGGAUGUUUUCAUUAAUCAAGAACGAAAGUUAGGGGAUCGAAGACGAUCAGAUACCGUCGUAG
rnacentral:rRNA from 1 species